rnacentral:snoRNA from 1 species
AAGCCAUGGUGAGGGCAGCUUCUCUACAAAUCCUUAAAUCUUUCCCACGCCUCAUACAAUGGUUCAUUCUCAAAUUGCUGAAAGGUAGURAUGUCUUUGAUGAUCUU